rnacentral:lncRNA from 1 species
AUUUACGUUACUCUAUUUCUCUUCAUUAGGACACGAGCCAGUUGUUCCAAUUUUGCGUUUGUAGUUUUGAUUUUCUUGGUCAUUUUACUGAUGUAGAAAAGAAAAAAGAAAAACUUUUUAACUCAAAAGGGGAAUUCAUCGUAUUUAAAACAACAUUCUACUUAUCUUAUUAUAUGCCUGAAUCACAAUAGUUCCUAUGUAAAUAAAGUGCUUGAUAAAGGAAAUGUUCGAAUCAAAGAAACGCAAAUGUACAACACUAUCCUGUAUUGGUGCAAUACCAUGAAUGAACUGCUCGGAUACUGGUGACCAUACUAUUACAACCAAUUACAGCAAACAAGUGCCUGAAAACAUAAAACAAAAACAGCAGAAACUAUUCUAUCAUAUACCAGAUUAUGAAGUGUGUGUCCGAGCGAGAACUUCUCUAGUUCAUUACUUUAGGAAUAUUUAUCAAAGGUUUAGGAGAGGGUUGAGAUCUCUUAAACAAUUUUAACCCCGUCGCAUUGUUGCGCCUGUCCCAAGUCAGGAGCCUCUGGCCUUUGUUAGUCUUGACUUAUUUUUAAAUUUAGUUUCUUGUGUACAAUUUGGAGUUUAGUAUGGCGUUCAUUAUCAUCGAAGUAGUAUAUAUAUUUGUUUAUGGACCAACUGAGGGACGCGUCCGGGUGCGGGAAUUUCUCGCUGCAUUGAAGAUAUGUCAGUAACCUUCUGCUGUUGUCUGUUCUAUGAUCGGGUUGUUGUCUCUUUGGCACAUUCCCCUAUUUCCAUUUUCAAUUUUAUCAUUUGGGUGGUAUGGGGAUUUUAAAUAGUUGAACUAUUUUUUACAUCACCUGCUUUGUUGUCGACAGCAAAUAAACAAGUAAUAAAAUGUACACACAUCAAUGAACAGCUGAAAACCCCAAAACCUUGAGAUAAAUACAUGAAGGAAACAAAGGUCCUGCGUCUUGCAAGACAGCCGUCAUGUUAACAUUUUAGCACUUGAUAAAUAAAUAAAAUGUCAAAG